CUGGGAAGUCCUNGUGUUGCAACCCCC
rnacentral:rRNA from 1 species